CCUACGGGUGGCAGCAGUGGGGAAUAUUGGACAAUGGGGGGAACCCUGAUCCAGCGACGCCGCGUGAGUGAAGAAGUAUUUCGGUAUGUAAAGCUCUAUCAGCAGGGAAGAAAGAAAUGACGGUACCUGACUAAGAAGCCCCGGCUAACUACGUGCCAGCAGCCGCGGUAAUACGUAGGGGGCAAGCGUUAUCCGGAUUUACUGGGUGUAAAGGGAGCGUAGACGGCGAUGCAAGUCUGAAGUGAAAGGCGGGGGCCCAACCCCUGGACUGCUUUGGGAACUGGCGCGCUGGAGUGCCGGAGGGGUAGGCGGAAUUCCUAGUGUAGCGGUGAAAUGCGUAGAUAUUAGGAGGAACACCAGUGGCGAAGGCGGCCUACUGGACGGUGACUGACGCUGAGGCUCGAAAGCGUGGGGAGCAAACAGGAUUAGAUACCCCGGUAGUC
rnacentral:rRNA from 1 species